UCUCAGUUCGGAUUGGGGUCUGCAACUCGACCCCAUGAAGUCGGAAUCGCUAGUAAUCGCGUAACAGCAUGACGCGGUGAAUACGUUCCCGGGCCUUGUACACACCGCCCGUCACACCAUGGGAGUUGGUUUUACCCGAAGCCGGUGCGCUAACCUUAGGGAAGCAGCCGACCACGGUAGGGUCAGCGACUGGGGUGAAGUCGUAACAAGGUAGCCGUAGGGGAACCUGCGGCUGGAUCACCUCCUU
rnacentral:rRNA from 14 species